rnacentral:rRNA from 1 species
GAUGAACGCUGGCGGCGUGCCUAAUACAUGCCAGUCGAGCGAACAGACGAGGAGCUUGCUCCUCUGACGUUAGCGGCGGACGGGUGAGUAACACGUGGAUAACCUACCUUUAAGACUGGGAUAACUUCGGGAAACCGGAGCUAAUACCGGAUAAUAUAUUGAACCGCAUGGUUCAAUAGUGAAAGACGGUUUUGCUGUCACUUAUAGAUGGAUCCGCGCCGCAUUAGCUAGUUGGUAAGGUAACGGCUUACCAAGGCAACGAUGCGUAACCGACCUGGGAGGGUGAUCGGCCACACUGGAACUGAGACACGGUCCAGACUCCUAAGGGAGGCAGCAGUAGGGAAUCUUCCGCAAUGGGAGAAAGCAUGAAGGAGCAACGCCGCGUGAGUGAUGAAGGUAUUCGGAUCGUAAAACUCUGUUAUUAGGGAAGAACAAAUGUGUAAGUAACUAUGCACGUCUUGACGGUACCUAAUCAGAAAGCCACGGCUAACUACGUG